GAGUUUGAUCGUGGCUCAGGACGAACGCUGGCGGCGUGCCUAACACAUGCAAGUCGAACGAGUCCACCUUUCGGGGUGAGGCGAGUGGCGGACGGGUGAGUAACACGUGAACAACCUGUCUCUGUAUGGGGGACAACCCGGGGAAACCCGGGCUAAUACCGCAUGGUCGGUGGCCUCGAGUGGGGCUGCCGGGAAAGACGGCCUCUUUACAAUGCUGUCGUGCAGGGAGGGGUUCGCGGGCUAUCAGCUAGUUGGUGAGGUAACGGCUCACCAAGGCGACGACGGCUACGGGGUCUGAGAGGACGACCCCGCACAUUGGAACUGAGACACGGUCCAGACUCCUACGGGAGGCAGCAGUGGGGAAUUUUGGGCAAUGGCCGCAAGGCUGACCCAGCGACGCCGCGUGCGGGAGGAAGCCCUUCGGGUGUAACCGCUGUCAGAGGGGACGAAACCCCGGCACGGUAACAGCCUGUCGGCUUGACGGUACCCUCCAAAGGAAGCACCGGCUAACUCCGUGCCAGCAGCCGCCGUAAC
rnacentral:rRNA from 1 species